AUUGAACGCUGGCGGCAUGCUUUACACAUGCAAGUCGAACGGGCUGGGGGCAACUCCAGUCAGUGGCGAACGGGUGAGUAAUGCAUCGGAACGUGUCCCGUAGUGGGGGAUAACCCGGCGAAAGCCGGACUAAUACCGCAUAUGCUCUACGGAGGAAAGUGGGGGACCGGAAACGGCCUCACGCUAUGGGAGCGGCCGAUGUCCGAUUAGCUUGUUGGUGGGGUAAUGGCCUACCAAGGCGACGAUCGGUAGCUGGUCUGAGAGGAUGAUCAGCCACACUGGGACUGAGACACGGCCCAGACUCCUACGGGAGGCGAGCAGUGGGGAAUUUUGGACAAUGGGGGCAACCCGUGAUCCAGCCAUGCCGCGUGCGGGAAGAAGGCCU
rnacentral:rRNA from 1 species